rnacentral:rRNA from 1 species
AAUUGACGGGAACCCGCACAAGCGGUGGAGUAUGUUGUUUAAUUCGAAGAUACACGAAGAACCUUACCAGGUCUUGACAUACCAUUGACAGGCGCAGAGAUGUGCUCUCCUUCGGGCAAUGGAUACAGGUGGUGCAUGGUUGUCGUCAGCUCGUGCCGUGAGGUGUUGGGUUAAGUCCCGCAACGAGCGCAACCCUCAUUGUUAGUUACUACCAUUCAGUUGAGGACUCUAAUGAGACUGCCAACGAUAAGUUGGAGGAAGGUGGGGAUGACGUCAAAUCAUCAUGCCCUUUAUGACCUGGGCUACAAACGUACUACAAUGGCCAAUACAAAGAGAUGCGAAGCGGUGACGUGGAGCGAACCUCAGAAAGUUGGUCUCAGUUCAGAUUGAAGUCUGCAACUCGACUUCAUGAAGGCGGAAUCGCUAGUAAUCGCGGGUCAGCAGACCGCGGUGAAUACGUUCCCGGGUUUU